AUCGAUUAAACCUCAUUGAAUGCAAUCUUCAGUUCCGGUUACCCUCGAUUGAAUGCUUCCACUGAAUCGUCUAUUCUUCAAUGCGUCUUUACAAUCCUUCUCCGUUACCAUCGCACCCCCUGUUAAGAACCAGACCACGCGCCCACAAUUGGAUUCUUCGCACAUCAAAACCCUUAAAGGUGGUGGUGUAGGAUCAUAAACAACUCCGAGUAACCAACCAAUCUGAUGCAGCGGCGAUGGUUUCAAAGUACAAUCAGUUUACCGGUGACUAAGGGUUUUGCUGGCUGUGAUUUGGUGAACUGUCGUUAAAUCUGUGGCGAGGACAAGGGUAAAAAACGGCUACCGGUCAGUGAUGUAUUCUCUGGAAGUGGGUUUUCGGUCAGGAUUAGCUGCUGCCAUAAUUGGGUUUUUGAUUUAUAAUGAAUUCUGGUAUGUUUAUGUACAGGUUCAUGACAUUAGGAUUCAAAGUUUUCUACAGUUUUGGUUAGAGAUGUAAUUAA